GUACUCCUGAAGAGUCCCGCAAUGGGACGAAACGGCCGUCCAGUAC
rfam:Schistosoma margrebowiei strain Zambia genome assembly, scaffold: SMRZ_contig0003228